rnacentral:rRNA from 1 species
UGAGUAACCUGCCCUUAACUCUGGGAUAAGCCUGGGAAACUGGGUCUAAUACCGGAUAUGACUCCUCAUCGCAUGGGUGGGGGGUGGAAAGCUUUUUGUGGUUUUGGAUGGACUCGCGGCCUAUCAGCUUGUUGGUGAGGUAAUGGCUCACCAAGGCGACGACGGGUAGCCGGCCUGAGAGGGUGACCGGCCACACUGGGACUGAGACACGGCCCAGACUCCUACGGGAGGCAG